GAUGAACGCUGGCGGCGUGCCUAAUACAUGCAAGUCGAGCGGAGCGGGGACGGGUGAGUAACACGUGGAUAACCUCCUAUAAGACUGGGUUAACUUCGGGAAACCGGAGCUAAACCCGUUACUUCUCGAUGGGUCCGCGCUGCAUUAGCUAGUUGGUAAGGUCACGGCUGACCAAGGCAACGAUGCAUAGCCGACCUGAGAGGAUGAUCGGCCACACUGGAACUGAGACACGGUCCAGACUCCUACGGGAGGCAGCAGUAGGGAAUAUGCCGCAAUGGGCGAAAGCCUGACGGAGCCACGCCGCGUGAGUGAGGAAGGCCUUCGGAUCGUAAAACACUGUUAUUAGGGAAGCGGUACCUGAAGAGAAAGCACCGGCUAACUACGUGCCAGCAGCCGCGGUAAUUC
rnacentral:rRNA from 1 species